UUUGGGCGGGAGCGUCAAACGGUUGAAGAAAGCGGCGCGAAGGGAAGGUCUGCCUUGGUGUCUGUGGCGCUCAGGCGAGAUCAAAAGGGGAUUUCCGGUUUGGCAGCCAGACGAUGAGCAGCAGCAUCCUAGGGCUCUAGGAAUGCGACUCGAAGAUUCGAUCUUGGGAGGGUGUGUGUAAUCCCCUCCCCCCCUAUAGCGGACAUUUGCAUGUUUUUGAACAGCUAGGUUGGCAGAAGCUGGGGCUAACCCCGUUCCCUGGAUUCGAACCACCAACCUUUCGGUCAGUCAGUUCAGCAGCUCAGUGAUUUAAUCCGCUGCGCCACUGGGCGCAUCCCUCCCCCUAUUUCCCAAUCCCAACUCACGUUAGAUGUUUUCAAGGUCCUCGAUUUCCAGAGGUGGU
rnacentral:lncRNA from 11 species